UGUGGGAGCGAGCUUGCUCGCGAUAGCGCCUGUUGAGACACAUUGAUGCUGGAUGUGCCGCCGCCAUCGCGAGCAAGCUCGCUCCCACA
rnacentral:misc_RNA from 1 species